UACGAAGGGGGCUAGCGUUGCUCGGAAUUACUGGGCGUAAAGGGCGCGUAGGCGGCCGAGCAAGUUAGAUGUGAAAGUCCUGGGCUUAACCUGGGGACUGCAUUUGAUACUGCUUGGCUUGAAUUCGGGAGAGGAUAGCGGAAUUCCCAGUGUAGAGGUGAAAUUCGUAGAUAUUGGGAAGAACACCGGUGGCGAAGGCGGCUAUCUGGACCGACAUUGACGCUGAGGCGCGAAAGCGUGGGGAGCAAACAGG
rnacentral:rRNA from 1 species